rnacentral:lncRNA from 1 species
UUCUACUUCAGUUCACAUCGAUUAGAGCUAGAAAUCAGCACAGCUUAGGGGGAAUAAAUCUAAUGGGUUUUUGUUUUUGUUACGUUCGAAGAGAAUCUAGAUUGAGGUGAUUUGUCUCUAUCUGGUCGGGGAAUGGUCACUCAAAACAACAAGUUCAGCACUCCAAGCUAGCGGUCAUCGGAAACUUACGCCCACCGUGACUAACUGAAUCCGGCAAUUAUGGCCUAAUCAUAUAAUGGUAUGGGCGCAUGGGG